rnacentral:rRNA from 1 species
AGUGAACGCUGGCGGUAGGCCUAACACAUGCAAGUCGAACGGCAGCACAGUAAGAGCUUGCUCUUACGGGUGGCGAGUGGCGGACGGGUGAGGAAUACAUCGGAAUCUACUUUUUCGUGGGGGAUAACGUAGGGAAACUUACGCUAAUACCGCAUACGACCUACGGGUGAAAGCAGGGGAUCUUCGGACCUUGCGCGAUUGAAUGAGCCGAUGUCGGAUUAGCUAGUUGGCGGGGUAAAGGCCCACCAAGGCGACGAUCCGUAGCUGGUCUGAGAGGAUGAUCAGCCAAAAUGGAACUGAGAACCGGUCCCGACUCCUAACGGAGGCCGCCGGGGGGAAUAUUGGAACAUGGGCGCAAGCCUGAUCCAGCCCUACCGCGGGGGUGAAGAAGGCCUUCGGGUUGUAAAGCCCUUUUGUUGGGAAAGAAAAGCAGCAAGUUAAAACCCCGCUGUUCUGACGGUACCCAAAGAAUAAGCCACGGCUAACUUCGUG